ACGGGUGAGUAACACGUGGGCAACCCGCCUGUAAGACUGGGAUAACUUCGGGAAACCGAAGCUAAUACCGGAUAGGAUCUUCUCCUUCAUGGGAGAUGAUUGAAAGAUGGUUUCGGCUAUCACUUACAGAUGGGCCCGCGGUGCAUUAGCUAGUUGGUGAGGUAACGGCUCACCAAGGCAACGAUGCAUAGCCGACCUGAGAGGGUGAUCGGCCACACUGGGACUGAGACACGGCCCAGACUUCUACGGGAGGCAGCAGUAGGGAAUCUUCCGCAAUGGACGAAAGUCUGACGGAGCAACGCCGCGUGAGUGAUGAAGGCUUUCGGGUCGUAAAACUCUGUUGUUAGGGAAGAACAAGUACGAGAGUAACUGCUCGUACCUUGACGGUACCUAACCAGAAAGCCACGGCUAACUACGUGCCAGCAGCCGCGGUAAUACGUAGGUGGCAAGCGUUAUCCGGAAUUAUUGGGCGUAAAGCGCGCGCAGGCGGUUUCUUAAGUCUGAUGUGAAAGCCCACGGCUCAACCGUGGAGGGUCAUUGGAAACUGGGGAACUUGAGUGCAGAAGAGAAAAGCGGAAUUCC
rnacentral:rRNA from 1 species